rnacentral:rRNA from 1 species
GACGAACGCUUGCUUCUUUCUUCACACCUUCAAUUCGAACGUAAAGGCCCUGCUUUUUUGUUUUGCUCGAGUGGCGAACGGGUGAGUAACACGUGAGUAACCUGCCCUUGACUUUGGGAUAACUUCAGGAAACUGGGGCUAAUACCGGAUAGGAGCUCCUGCUGCAUGGUGGGGGUUGGAAAGUUUCGGCGGUUGGGGAUGGACUCGCGGCUUAUCAGCUUGUUGGUGGGGUAGUGGCUUACCAAGGCUUUUCCGUGUAGCCGGCCUGAGAGGGUGACCGGCCACAUUGGGACUGAGAUACGGCCCAGACUCCUACGGGAGGCAGCAGUGGGGAAUAUUGCACAAUGGGCGGAAGCCUGAUGCAGCAACGCCGCGUGCGGGAGGAAGGAAGUCGGGUUGUAAACCGCUUUCGCCUGUGACGAAGCGUGAGUGAAGGUAAUGGGUAAAGAAGCAAAGGAUAAAUACGGG